rnacentral:rRNA from 1 species
AUUGAACGCUGGCGGCAGGCCUAACACAUGCAAGUCGAGCGGAUGAAGGGAGCUUGCUCCUGGAUUCAGCGGCGGACGGGUGAGUAAUGCCUAGGAAUCUGCCUGGUAGUGGGGGAUAACGUCCGGAAACGGGCGCUAAUACCGCAUACGUCCUGAGGGAGAAAGUGGGGGAUCUUCGGACCUCACGCUAUCAGAUGAGCCUAGGUCGGAUUAGCUAGUUGGUGGGGUAAAGGCCUACCAAGGCGACGAUCCGUAACUGGUCUGAGAGGAUGAUCAGUCACACUGGAAAUGAGACACGGUCCAGACUCCUACGGGAGGCAGAAGUGGGGAAGAUUGGACAAUGGGCGAAAGACUGAUCCAGCCAUGCCGCGUGUGUGAAGAAGGUCUUCGGAUUGUAAAGCACUUUAAGGUGGGAGGAAGGGCAGUAAGUUAAUACCUGGCUGUUGUGACGUUACCAACAGAAUAAGCACCGGCUAACUUCGUG